UCCGUGGUACUUGGUGCAGCGGAGGAUAGAGGCAAUCUCCGGAGCGCUUUCGGCAGACUUGGCAGCCGUUUCACCAUAGGGAAGACAGGGUUACCAAAUUCAAGUUUUGCAUUUUUUUGACGGCUGUACUACUGACUGGGAUCUUGGAAUCUUGUCCUGCUACGAGGAAACCCGAUAGGCAGUGUUUGGGUUGCUCGACCCACGUGUGCCGCGGGUGUUCAGUACGUACCGCUCCGUAGCCAAGCCGGGAGGGUGUCUGUCACCCUGCAACGGGUUCCAGCUGGCUGAUAUCUUUCUUUUCCUCCGGCCAUUACAAGGCAUGAUCAGGUUAGUCCUUGCAGAGUUCCUGGAAGCUGUUUCAGCAGGGCUAUAAUUGGAUUGCAUGAGGCUUGGCCUUUCGCCUUCUCUUCCAGCUAUCUGAACCAAUGCAGGAGGAAAAGCAAUGCUGCUGGGGAGGGGACUGGCUGUGGGUGACCAGGGGUGAUUUCCGUGCCAUGGAAACUGUCAGUGCUCCCCCAGACUUGUUUUCCUUUAGAGUGGAAAUGAGAUGCUGGGAUGUUUCUGGGUGGUGGAAAAAACAUGGGACAGACACCCCCUGUAGCAGCGUGGAGCUGAGCCUCCCACAAGCUGUUUUUAAAUGUUUUGAAAUAAGAGGCUGAACUUUUGCCAGGCAGAAACAAACAUUUCAACACUUCUUAAGUGGUGGAAGAUCAGUACCAAAUUCACAGUGAAAUGGUUUGGUAUUUAUAAAUGAAAGAAAGAUUCCCAAACAGGUAAAUAACUUUGGUCCCUCAAAAAUGCAGCCUCUCCCAACCCAGCCCCUUGUCAGGGAGCAGUGGGAGCUUCACCUUGGCCACUUCACCCACCGAAACAUCGCUGCUUCCAGCACCCAGACAUUUACCUUGGGAAGAACCAAGCUAACAUGGGAGCCCCAGUUUGUUGUACAGCCUGUGGAGAGAAAUAGGCAACCAAAACAGUUAUUCUCAGGGCCUGUUAUUUCAUCUUCAUUCCCCUCCUAAGGUUUAUAAAAGACAUUUGUACUGUCUGAGGUCUUAAGGGACAUAAAUACUCUGUUCAGCCUGUAUUUGUAGUUCAUCAGAAAUAUAGGAUUAUCCCCAGAGGCUUAAACAGUCUGGAUACCACUCUAGCAAAGCGGGUUCUUAUUUUGCAUGUUGCUGUAUUGACUGCUGUAGUGAGAGCGACCUUGUCACAUGCUGUUCUGCCUUGUUUUAUUAUCCUGGCUGCACCAGAGAGAGAAGUUAAUUAAACAGAUUCCACUGGAGAACAUUCGCUUGGAGACCAAUUCCCCUUGCCUUGGUCCAAACAAAGAAGUGUAGUCAAAAACAUGUAGAUUAAUCCCUACAUUAAUGCAUUAAUGCUCCUUUAAAAUGAUUUUCCUAGGUUCUAAAGUUUAUGCACUUUAAGAGCCUUAGUGCCAUGCAAGAUUUUUUUAUUUUUUUAUUUUUUUUUACUGGCCUGGUCAUAUUAUUUAAUAAAAGAAGAGCCACUAGGAGCUGAAAAUAGAAAGAAGUAAUAUAAGAGCUUUGUUGAUCAAAAUCAAAAUCAAAAGGGAAAGAAAUGAACCAGAGAAGAUCAGGAUUGUCUGCCAGUACACUGCUGCAGAGAAUGGGGUAUCAGUGGGAAGAGUCUGUGAAGUAACAACAAAAAACGCCUUGAAGAUUUUCCCAAAAGUUUACCAAUGUUCAAAGGAAUGAGUCUUUGUCAAAAAUCAGAGUGUUCAUCAAGGACAACCCUUCUGCAUUUCAUGAAUUCUAUUAUUUUUUAUGUGGACGCGUACAGGUUUUUUUGUUUGUUUCUCUGUGUAUAAAGGAUUCAGAUGGAGGUUACACUUUUUGUAACAUAUGAAGAUGCUAUUAAUCUCAGGGAAUAAAAUUCCAAUAAAUUUUACCUAC